rnacentral:rRNA from 1 species
UACGGAGGAUGCGAGCGUUAUCCGGAUUUAUUGGGUUUAAAGGGUGCGUAGGCGGAUCGUUAAGUCAGUGGUCAAAUUGAGGGGCUCAACCCCUUCCCGCCAUUGAAACUGGCGAUCUUGAGUGGAAGAGAAGUAUGCGGAAUGCGUGGUGUAGCGGUGAAAUGCAUAGAUAUCACGCAGAACCCCGAUUGCGAAGGCAGCAUGCCGGCUUCCUACUGACGUUGAAGCACGAAAGCGUGGGGAUCGAACAGG